UACGUAGGGGGCAAGCGUUGUCCGGAUUUAUUGGGCGUAAAGGAUGCGUAGGCGGACAUUUUAAGUCAGAUGUGAAAUACCCGAGCUUAACUUGGGUGCUGCAUUUGAAACUGGGUGUCUAGAGUGCAGGAGAGGUAAGUGGAAUUCCUAGUGUAGCGGUGAAAUGCGUAGAGAUUAGGAAGAACACCAGUGGCGAAGGCGACUUACUGGACUGUAACUGACGCUGAGGCAUGAAAGCGUGGGGAGCAAACAGG
rnacentral:rRNA from 1 species